rnacentral:rRNA from 1 species
UACGGAGGGAGCUAGCGUUGUUCGGAAUUACUGGGCGUAAAGGGCGCGUAGGCGGCCUGUUAAGUCGGACGUGAAAUCCCCGGGCUCAACCCGGGAACUGCGUCCGAUACUGGCAGGCUUGAAUCCGGGAGAGGGAUGUGGAAUUCCAGGUGUAGCGGUGAAAUGCGUAGAUAUCAAGAGGAACACCGGUGGCGAAGGCGGCUCUCUGGUCCAUGUCUGACGCUGAGGUACGAAAGCCAGGGGAGCAAACGGG